rnacentral:rRNA from 1 species
AAUAGAUACCCGGGUAGUCCACGCCGUAAACGAUGAGUGCUAAGUGUUAGAGGGUUUCCGCCCUUUAGUGCUGCAGCUAACGCAUUAAGCACUCCGCCUGGGGAGUACGGCCGCAAGGCUGAAACUCAAAGGAAUUGACGGGGGCCCGCACAAGCGGUGGAGCAUGUGGUUUAAUUCGAAGCAACGCGAAGAACCUUACCAGGUCUUGACAUCCUCUGCCAACCCUAGAGAUAGGGCGUUCCCCUUCGGGGGACAGAGUGACAGGUGGUGCAUGGUUGUCGUCAGCUCGUGUCGUGAGAUGUUGGGUUAAGUCCCGCAACGAGCGCAACCCUUAAUCUUAGUUGCCAGCAUUUAGUUGGGCACUCUAAGGUGACUGCCGGUGACAAACCGGAGGAAGGUGGGGAUGACGUCAAAUCAUCAUGCCCCUUAUGACCUGGGCUACACACGUGCUACAAUGGAUGGUACAAAGAGCUGCGAACCCGCGAGGGUAAGCGAAUCUCAUAAAGCCAUUCUCAGUUCGGAUUGUAGGCUGCUAACC